AAACUUUAUAAUGAUUUUUAUAAUGGUCACAGAGCCCCUCCCAAUCAAGCAUUGCAUAAAGCCAUCCCAUUGCUAUCACAGUCUAAACUACCGUAUAUGAUUAAAAUCAGGAGCCCUUAUCAGAAAACACACAAGAAGCUGGUAACAGUGUGUUCUUUUACCCCCUCUUGCUUAACUACUCUACUACUACACUUCCCUUUUUGUAGUCAUGACAUAUUUUAAGAUAAGACACUU